rnacentral:lncRNA from 1 species
AGUACUACAUAGACAAAGCUUGAGUUUCUGUAUUUACUUUUUGAAAUUGUGUUUUAUGUUUCCCAAGGUGAUCCUCAGAUUUUAUGGUUAAGGAUGUCCUUGAACUUCUGAAGGCUGGGAUUAUAGGUUUUUUUUUUUUUUUUUGUUUUUUUUUUGGUCUCUGGCUGCUUUGUUUUGUUCUGGGUCUUGAACUUAGGGCUUUUUGCAUGUUCUAUACACUGAACUACAUCUCUUUUCCCUCCCUCCCUCCCUUCCAAGUUUAAAUAAACCACAUACACUUAGUUACUUAUUUGUAUAUUUACUUAUUUUGUUGUGUAUGUAUUUGUGUGUAUGUGAGGGCAUAUUCGGGGAGUUCAGGGGACAACCUGUGGGAAUUGUUUCUCUUCUACUUGGUGAGUUUGGGAAUUGAACUCAGGUAGUCGUGUUUGAAAAUAGGCAUUUGUACCCAUUGACCUAUCCUGCCAACCUCUGAUUUCUUUAUUUUUUUCUAAUAUGGUGUCUGAUAUUGGCCAAUUCCUUUUCUUUGCUUUCUCUGAUUGUAUGACAAAUCAUGAAAGACUAUUUCAGAUAAUGAAUGUGCUGAAGAAACAGUUUCUCCCACUUCAGCUUUCUGAGUGCUAAGAUUACGAACAAAGCUACUACUCCAGGAUUCAAACAGGAUAUUGGUUUGUUUGUUUGUUUUUACACCAUUUGAUCUUCUGUAUUACCCAAGGAUUCCCUACUGGAUGGAGAAUGCAGUUAUUGGCUGUUCCAAUGGCAUACUUUAGUCAUAACUCUGAGAGAAUCCACUGAUAACUAAUAAUUUGUCUAUUAGAAAGCCAUCCGAGGUUAGAAACACUAGUUUUAUUGUCUUAUACUACUCUUCUCUCCUCUUCUCUUCUCUCUUCCUUCCUUUCUGAGACAGGGUUUCUGUGCACAGCUUUGGCUGAGCUGGAACUCACUCUGUAGAUGAGCUUGCUUUGCAGUCACUGAGAUCUGCCGGGCUCUGCCUCCUGAUCAGAGGCAUGUUGCCCCCAUGCUUAGGCAGUUGAAACUAGUAGGAGCUCAUUUGUUUUGUAACUUGUGAUCCCGGUUUAUAGUAAUGUUCUACCACACAUGUUAAUUGAGCAGUGUGGUUUCCAGACUGGUUUCAUCCUGGACUUCUGUAUUACAAGAGGCAUGGGUAUGAAAUGUAAAGUAUUUAAAAAUGAUAUUAAUUUGGGCUGGAGAAUUUGUUGAGUAGUUAAGUUUGUUGCUUUUGUUAGAGGGUCUGAGUUGGAUUCCCAGCAUGCACAUGGUGGUUCACAACUAUUCCAGAGGAUCUGUCUGUCUUUUCACCUCUUAGGGCACCAGGCACACAUACAUGCAUUCAAGCAAAACACUUGUAUACUAUAAUAAAAUCUGAAAACAAAACAAAACCCUAUACUGAAUUCUGAAAAAAAGCAUAAAUAUUGUAUGUGUUUGGGCACACAUGUGGAAGUCAGAGGACACGCUUUAGGAGUUGGUUCUCUCCUUCCACUUUGUGGGUCUCAGGAAUUGAACUCACUUGUCAAGCUUAGUGACAAGUGCCUUUACCUGCCAUCUUACUGGCCUAGAAGUUCUUUAAAGCUUUUAGAUCAGGUAGUUGCUAUAUAUCACAGGAUGAGAAAAUACCAAAUAAAGACGAUGUUAAAAUUUUGGGAAUUGGCCAGGGAGAUGGUUUAGUGGGUAAAGCACUUAGGUAUUGUGAGAAGUUUGCCUUGGGUGGAGAAGACAGCUUCUAUCCCCCUCUUCUCCCAAAGUUCUAGUGACAAACUGCAAAGUUCAGUCCCACAGUAGUUCACACUGAUGAACCAAUGAGUUGGUUAAGGUUACUUACAGCCUAAAGCAGCCACAUUGCAAAGUCUGGGCUUAGCAUGAAUGAUGGCUUCCGUAAGGCCCCUUCCCUAGAAGCAAUCAUCAGUUACAGCAGCAUUGCACACAGAUGACUGGGAGGAGUGGCUUGGUACUUAGGUGAGGGUCCAGUGACCCUCCCUACCCUCUUUCUGUGAGGGAAUAUUAGCAGUCAGCGAGCCCAGUUGUAAUAAAUUUUAGCAGGUGGAAUGAGUGAUGGCUCUUUGGUUCAGAGGACAGUGCUUAUACAACACCAUACAAACCUUACUACCUCAAUUUGAUCCUCAGACCCCGUCUCUACUCCAAGCCUUUUUACACUGAGAUGGGAGGCAGAGACAGGAGAAUCAGCCAGAAAUAGAAACAAUCCCUGUCUUACAGUGGAAGGAGAGAACCGACUUCUGGAAAGUUCUGUGAUUGAGGAGGGUGUGUGUGUCACACACAUGCUGUGGCACAAGAGAAUAACU